rnacentral:rRNA from 1 species
AGAGUUUGAUCCUGGCUCAGAACGAACGCUGGCGGCAUGCUUAACACAUGCAAGUCGAACGGUGCUUUCGGGCACAGUGGCGCACGGGUGAGUAACACGUGGGAACCUGCCUCUUGGUUCGGAAUAGCUGCGGGAAACUGCAAUUAAUACCGGAUACGUCGGUCCUCUGUGGUGGGGGAUCGGGAAAGAUUUAUCGCCGA